rnacentral:rRNA from 1 species
UACGUAGGGGGCGAGCGUUGUCCGGAUUUAUUGGGCGUAAAGAGCGUGUAGGCGGCCAGGUAGGUCGGUUGUGAAAACUGGAGGCUUAACCUUCAGACGUCGACCGAAACCAUCUGGCUAGAGUCCGGAAGAGGAGAGUGGAAUUCCUGGUGUAGCGGUGAAAUGCGCAGAGUAUCAGGAAGAACACCCGUGGCGAAGGCGGCUCUCUGGGACGGUACUGACGCUGAGACGCGAAAGCGUGGGGGAGCGAACAGG